rnacentral:rRNA from 1 species
GAUGAACGCUGGCGGCGUGCCUAAUACAUGCAAGUCGAGCGAACGGACGAGAAGCUUGCUUCUCUGAUGUUAGCGGCGGACGGGUGAGUAACACGUGGAUAACCUACUUAUAAGACUGGGAUAACUUCGGGAAACCGGAGCUAAUACCGGAUAAUAUUUUGAACGGCAUGGUUCAAAAGUGAAAGACGGUCUUGCUGUCACUUAUAGAUGGAUCCGCGCUGCAUUAGCUAGUUGGUAAGGUAACGGCUUACCAAGGCAACGAUGCAUAGCCGACCUGAGAGGGUGAUCGGCCACACUGGAACUGAGACACGGUCCAGACUCCUACGGGAGGCAGCAGUAGGGAAUCUUCCGCAAUGGGCGAAAGCCUGACGGAGCAACGCCGCGUGAGUGAUGAAGGUCUUCGGAUCGUAAAACUCUGUUAUUAGGGAAGAACAUAUGUGUAAGUAACUGUGCACAUCUUGACGGUACCUAAUCAGAAAGCCACGGCUAACUACGUG